ACACACACGGCACAAGAUGGCCGGAGAGGCAGCAGCACUGCGAGCUGUCAGGCGUUCCUCCGCGGCCGCGGUGCCCGCCGGUCGGCGGGGAGCUGCGCCCGGGAGGCCCGCAGGCUCGCGGGAACCCAGCGGCUGCGGAUGGGGCGAGGCGGGCCGCGGGUCGGGCUGGGAGCCCCCGGCAGAGACGCCCGGGGCAGCCGGGCCCACGACGGGGAAAGCGCCGCUGCGGCAGCGGCUGCGGAGGCUCCUCGGGGCCCCGGCGGCUCGACCUGGUACGGGCGGGAGGCUCGGGCAGGCGGCCCGGCGCGGGACUCGGGCGUGAGUGACCAAGGGGUGCUGACCGCGGCGCUCGGACCCGGCAACUUACAAGAUUAAAAUUAAAUUUGGUUGAUGAUGGUUCUGGACAAAUACAGCUCUUUUAUUUGAGGUAUGCCAUUUUGAAGACAGACCCGUGGAAUUUUAUCCUUGAGGAUAGGGGAAAUCUUUGUGAAAGUCUGUAUUUUAUAAAGCAACAAUAUGAAUCCUGAGGCUGAAUUGUCUAAGGGGCCUGUACAGCGAAAUAGAUCACCCAGUCAGCUUGAAGAGUCUCAAAUGGACCCUACAACUGAGAAAUCAAGAUGGCAGUCCACUAUGGGAAAUGAGAAAAAUGGACUAAUGCAAGAGUGCUGUGAUAAUAACAACCAAGACAGGGUUCUUUUAACAUGGAUUUCAUGAAUGAAGAUAUAGGUUUCUUAACCAACACAAUGGACAGUGGAUUUGACUUUGGAAAGACUUUUUGUAUCAUAAAAACAAGAACAUUUUUGACAUUUGGAGAAGAAAGAUGACACAUUAACAGAUGAUAGUUUGUAUGUCUGGAAUUUUUUGGUUUGAUUUGUAUGAGAAUGACCUUGUGGAAUGUUAACUUUAAUAAAAUUUCUAACAGUUUAAAAUU